GACGAACGCUGGCGGCGUGCUUAACACAUGCAGGUCGAACGGUGAUGACAGGGCUUGCCUUGUCGGAUCAGUGGCGAACGGGUGAGUAACACGUGAGUAACCUGCCCCAGACUCUGGGAUAACCCCGGGAAACCGGAGCUAAUACCGGAUAUGACCCUUGUACGCAUGUGCUGGGGGUGGAAAGUUUUUCGGUCUGGGAUGGGCUCGCGGCCUAUCAGCUUGUUGGUGAGGUAGUGGCUCACCAAGGCGACGACGGGUAGCCGGCCUGAGAGGGCGACCGGCCACACUGGGACUGAGACACGGCCCAGACUCCUACGGGAGGCAGCAGUGGGGAAUAUUGCACAAUGGGCGAAAGCCUGAUGCAGCGACGCCGCGUGAGGGAUGACGGUCUUCGGGUUGUAAACCUCUUUCAGCAGGGAAGAAGCGCAAGUGACGGUACCUGCAGAAGAAGCACCGGCUAACUACGUGCCAGCAGCCGCCGUAACAC
rnacentral:rRNA from 1 species